UGAGUACGAGAUGCUACGGCAUCGAAGCAGUCUAUGUCAUACUUCCAAGAAAAGCUUGCACUGUCAUAAACAAAGAAUGCCUGUACCAUAACCGACACAGGUGGGUAGGUAGAGUAUACUAAGGGGCGCGAGAUAACUCUCUCUAAGGAACUCGGCAAAAUGACUCCGUAGCUUUGGGAGAAGGAGUGCCUUAUUUCUAAGGUUGCAAUAACAAGAUCCAAGCAACUGUUUACCAAAAACACAGGUCUCCGCUAAGUCGUAAGACGAUGUAUGGGGGCUGACGCCUGCCCAGUGCCAGAAGGUUAAAGAAGUUGGUUAGCAUUAGCGAAGCUGAUAACUGAAGCCCUGGUGAACGGCGGCCGUAACUAUAACGGUCCUAAGGUAGCGAAAUUCCUUGUCGGGUAAGUUCCGACCCGCACGAAAGGCGUAAUGAUUUGGAUACUGUCUCGGAGAGGGGCUCGGUGAAAUAGACUUGUCUGUGAAGAUGCGGACUACCUGCACCUGGACAGAAAGACCCUAUGAAGCUUUACUGUAACUUGAGAUUGAAAUUGGACUUUAUUUGCGCAGUAUAGGUGGUAGGCGUUGAGAAUAAUCUUGCGGGAUUGUUGGAGCCAUCAGUGAGAUACCACUCUUGUAAUGUUAGAUUUCUAACUUUGUAUCAUUAUCUGGUCAAAGAACAGUUUCAGGCGGGCAGUUUGACUGGGGCGGUCGCCUCCCAAAGGGUAACGGAGGCGCACAAAGGUUUCCUCUGAACGGGUAGAAAUCGUAUCUAGAGUGUAAAGGCAUAAGGAAGCUUGACUGUGAGACCUACAAGUCGAGCAGGGACGAAAGUCGGUCUUAGUGAUCUGACGGUGCUGAGUGGAAAGGCCGUCACUCAACGGAUAAAAGUUACUCUAGGAUAACAGGCUGAUCUCCCCCAAGAGUUCACAUCGACGGGGAGGUUUGGCACCUCGAUGUCGGCUCAUCGCAUCCUGGGGCGGUAGUCCGUCCCAAGGGUUGGGCUGUUCGCCCAUGAAAGCGGUACGCGAGCUGGGUUCAGAACGUCGUGAGACAGUUCGGUCCAUAUCCGGUGUAGGCGUUAGAAUAUUGAGAGGAGCCUUCUCUAGUACGAGAGGACCGAGAAGGACAUACCUCUGGUGUACCAGUUAUCGUGCCAACGGUAAGCGCUGGGUAGCUGUGUAUGGAGUGGAUAACCGCUGAAAGCAUCUAAGUGGAAGCCCACCUCAAGAUAAGUAUUCUCAUC
rnacentral:rRNA from 1 species